AUGCCAGAAGGGUUUAAUGCUACUUCAAUUGUGCUAAUUCCAAAAGUUUCAAAUCCUACUAAGCUUUCGGAGUAUAGGCCUAUAAGCCUCUGUAAUGUGGUAUAUAAAGUGAUCUCGAAGUGCUUGGUUAACAGAUUGAGACCCCUCAUGGAUGAUCUUAUUUCUCCGGAACAGAGUGCAUUCAUCCCAGGGAGGAUGAUUGCGGACAAUGCUCUCGUAGCUUUUGAAUGCAUCCACCACAUAAAGCAAGAAAAGGAUCCAACUAGGAGUUUCUGUGCAUAUAAGUUGGAUCUGUCCAAAGCUUAUGAUAGGGUGGAUUGGAUCUUUUUGAGGCAAGUGAUGCAAAAGAUGGGUUUCUCUCAACGAUGGGUUGACUGGAUUAUGGCAUGUGUCACGUCGGUGAGAUACUCUAUGAAUUUUAACGGAACCCUCUUGGAUUCGUUUGCGCCGUCGCGUGGACUACGGCAAGGAGAUCCUUUAUCACCACUCUUAUUUUUGUUUGUGGCAGAUGGGCUAUCAUCUUUACUGGGAAAGAAGGUGGAGUCAGGAGAUAUUACUCCGGUGACAGUGUGCAGGAAUGCACCCGGUAUAUCACAUUUGUUGUUCGCUGAUGAUACACUCCUGUUUUUUGAGGCGUCCAAAAACCAGGCUGAGAAGGUGAAGCAAGUCCUGGAUGCUUAUAGUAUGGCCACAGGGCAAACUCUCAACUAU
rnacentral:rRNA from 1 species